UGCAAGUGAUCGGGGAAAAGAGAAAGUUAUCGACUAAAUUACAAAAAUAGUCGUUUUGCAUCCGAGGUAAGUUAUAUGUAAAUAAUAGUUAUAUUUGUAUAAAUUGUGAAUUAUAUUUGAUAUGUGAAUUAAUAUUGAAUGUGGAAGGAAAGUUGUUCAUGAAUUAGUCAAGUGAUAAAGUGUUGAAAAUAAAGUGUUAAGUGUAAAUUCCCGGUUGAACUUAGGAAUAGAAUUGGAUACAAGUGACAUGUCACUAGAGACCAGUGUUACAGUGUUACAGUGAGUCCCGGGUGCUGGGUGAUCUAGCAUGUGUUGCAGACACCUGACAGCUUGUGUGAGCAGAACCGUGGACAUUUCCAGUGUUAUUGAUCAGUGGUAGCUUCGGCUACAUUUCAGUGGUAGCUUUGGCUACAUCCAGUGGUAGCUUCGGCUACAUAUCAGUGGUAGCUUCGGCUACAUAUCAGUGUGGCACUUAUGUGCUAAAUCUCUACGUAUCCGUGUAUAUUCCAAGUGUUCAACGGGAUUAAUAAUGAAUUAAAGUGAAUAUGAAAUGUUAAGUGUGAAAAUGUAUAUGCAAGUGAAUUGGUAAGAUUGUGUAUGUGUAAGUGAUUGAAAUUGCUAAGAAAUGUUUUGAUUAGUUAUAUGUUAAAAGUGUUAAUUAUUAAUUGAGUAAUUAUUGUUUACAUGUAACUUACUAAGCUAUUUAUAGCUUACACAUCUCUUUCUUUCCUUUGUUUUAUAGUGAUUUGAACUUGAUCGAAUAGUGGACCGUCGGAGCUCGUAUCACACUAUCAUAACCAUCUCGGUAUUAUGUGCUUUUCAAAAUGUUUAAACUAUGGCAUGUAUAGAGUCUUAAUCAUUUUGAGCAUGUCCAAAUGAUAUGGCUAAUGUUAGCUAUUGAAGUAGUUAUUAAAGAAUAUGUUUUGGAGUUAUGUAUGUGUAAAUGGUAACUAAUUCAAAGAAGCAGUUUCUUUGACAGCAGCAGUGACGUGAAUGUGAAAAAUCACCAUAAAUAGUAGAAAUGGAAUUAGAGGGUGAAUGAUAUAUAGAAUUAAAGCUUAUCAAGUCUAUUUUUACAUGAAAGAAACGGUGUAGGCAAAGGAAUUUUAUAUUUUGAGAUAUUUAAAUUUUAGUGAGACAGGGUCAGAAUGGUUUUUGAAGUCCCCUGUUCUAACUUUAGAAAAUCAUUAUAAAUUGUACAGAAAUAAUUAUAGGUCAUAAUUUAUAUGUUUAGAUUCCUUAGUGAGUCUAUUUUCAAAAUAAAUUAAUGGUAACCUUAUAUGAAUUCUGUACAAUUAGAUAUUUGAUUUUUAGCGCCAAUAGGUCAGAUCUGUCGAG
rnacentral:lncRNA from 1 species